GACGAACGCUGUUGGCGUGCUUAACACAUGCAAGUCGAACGGAAAGGCCCUGCUUUUGUGGGGUGCUCGAGUGGCGAACGGGUGAGUAACACGUGAGUAACCUGCCCUUGACUUUGGGAUAACUUCAGGAAACUGGGGCUAAUACCGGAUAGGAGCUCCUGCUGCAUGGUGGGGGUUGGAAAGUUUCGGCGGUUGGGGAUGGACUCGCGGCUUAUCAGCUUGUUGGUGGGGUAGUGGCUUACCAAGGCUUUGACGGGUAGCCGGCCUGAGAGGGUGACCGGCCACAUUGGGACUGAGAUACGGCCCAGACUCCUACGGGAGGCAGCAGUGGGGAAUAUUGCACAAUGGGCGGAAGCCUGAUGCGGCAACGCCGCGUGCGGGAUGACGGCCUUCGGGUUGUAAACCGCUUUCGCCUGUGACGAAGCGUGAGUGACGGUAAUGGGUAAAGAAGCACCGGCUAACUACGUGCCAGCAGCCGCGGUGAUACGUAGGGUGCGAGCGUUGUCCGGAUUUAUUGGGCGUAAAGGGCUCGUAGGUGGUUGAUCGCGUCGGAAGUGUAGUCUUGGGGCUUAACCCUGAGCGUGCUUUCGAUACGGGUUGACUUGAGGAAGGUAGGGGAGAAUGGAAUUCCUGGUGGAGCGGUGGAAUGCGCAGAUAUCAGGAGGAACACCAGUGGCGAAGGCGGUUCUCUGGGCCUUUCCUGACGCUGAGGAGCGAAAGCGUGGGGAGCGAACAGGCUUAGAUACCCUGGUAGUCCACGCUGUAAACGGUGGGUACUAGGUGUGGGGUCCAUUCCACGGGUUCCGUGCCGUAGCUAACGCUUUAAGUACCCCGCCUGGGGAGUACGGCCGCAAGGCUAAAACUCAAAGGAAUUGACGGGGCCCCGCACAAGCGGCGGAGCAUGCGGAUUAAUUCGAUGCAACGCGUAGAACCUUACCUGGGUUUGACAUGGAUCGGGAGUGCUCAGAGAUGGGUGUGCCUCUUUUGGGGUCGGUUCACAGGUGGUGCAUGCCUGUCGUCAGCUCGUGUCGUGAGAUGUUGGGUUAAGUCCCGCAACGAGCGCAACCCUUGUUCACUGUUGCCAGCACGUUAUGGUGGGGACUCAGUGGAGACCGCCGGGGUCAACUCGGAGGAAGGUGGGGAUGACGUCAAGUCAUCAUGCCCCUUAUGUCCAGGGCUUCACGCAUGCUACAAUGGCUGGUACAGAGAGUGGCGAGCCUGUGAGGGUGAGCGAAUCUCGGAAAGCCGGUCUCAGUUCGGAUUGGGGUCUGCAACUCGACCUCAUGAAGUCGGAGUCGCUAGUAAUCGCAGAUCAGCAACGCUGCGGUGAAUACGUUCCCGGGGCU
rnacentral:rRNA from 1 species